rnacentral:rRNA from 1 species
AAAGGAAUAGACGGGGGCCCGCACAAGCGGUGGAGCAUGUGGUUUAAUUCGAUGGUACGCGAAGAACCUUACCAGGGCUUGACAUGCUGGAUGUAGGAACCCGAAAGGGGGACCACCGGUAUCCAAUCCGGAACCAGCACAGGUGGUGCAUGGCUGUCGUCAGCUCGUGUCGUGAGAUGUUGGGUUAAGUCCCGCAACGAGCGCAACCCUUGCCCUUAGUUACCGGAACGUAAGUUUCGGACCCUAAGGGGACUGCCGCAGAUGAUGCGGAGGAAGGUGGGGACGACGUCAAGUCAGCAUGCCCCUUAUGUCCUGGGCGACACACGUGCUACAAUGGCCGGUAUAAAGAGACGCAAAGCCGUGAGGUAGAGCAAAUCCCAAAAAACCGGUCCCAGUUCGGAUCGGGGUCUGAAACUCGACCCCGUGAAGCCGGAAUCGCUAGUAAUCGCGGAUCAGCCAUGCCGCGGUGAAUACGUUCUCGGGCCUUGUACACACCGCCCGU